rnacentral:tRNA from 1 species
GGAGAGGUGUCAGAGUGGUCGAUCGUAUCUGACUCGAAAUCAGAUGUCCCGCAAGGGACCGUGGGUUCGAAUCCCACCCUCUCCGCCA